GAGCCACAGAGAUGAAACAGCUGGGAAGAGAGACACAAGUAUUGCAGUAGGUAGGCUGUGGUUAUGAGGUGCCUCAGGAUGUGCUUAUUUUCUUGUUUCCGCCCUUCCCUCGUGCAGCCUUGGAGAGAUGAAGUCCCCAUGGUGUGGAGUGGUGCAAAAAGAGGAAUGGUCCAACAAUUCGGGUUAAUAGGGGACAAGAGAACAAAGGGGUUUCAGAAUAACUGCUAACUGUUAUGACUAUUGCAUGGGGCACUAUGCAAGUCUCUGACAUCCAGCCAAGAUGGACAAAGGAGAAGGACAAGGGAAAAGCCUGGGAGGAAGACUAUGAGCCUUCAGUACGAGAGACCCGCAGAGGGACCACCAGAGACUGGUAACACAUGCGCCAGUGGGCGGGUUCGGAUUCCAGGAACUAGUUAUAAUAACCCUGCCUUUUCUAGAAGUAGUAAUGAAUAUGUAUUAGCCUAGGAGCAUAAAAACCAGCCGCCUGC